GUACAGCUGACGAGUCCCAAGCAGGACGAAACACGAGUCCGUAU
rnacentral:hammerhead_ribozyme from 1 species